rnacentral:rRNA from 2 species
GCGACCCCAGGUCAGGCGGGAUUACCCGCUGAA